AAAACGGCCCUUUUCAGGGCCACCAAAUUAUUCGCUUUCUGGUUG
rfam:Asian citrus Psyllid, Diaphorina citri - Florida Strain, whole genome shotgun sequence.